GAAAUGCGAUAAGUAAUGUGAAUUGCAGAAUUCAGUGAAUCAUCGAAUCUUUGAACGCAGCUUGCGCUCCUUGGUAUUCCUUGGAGCAUGCCUGUUUGAGUAUCAUGAAAUCUUCAAAGUAAAUCUUUUGUUAACUCAAUUGGUUUCUACUUUGGUAUUGGAGGUCUUUGCAGCUUCACACCUGCUCCUCUUUGUUCAUUAGCUGGAUCUCAGUGUUAUGCUUGGUUCCACUCGGCGUGAUAAGUUAUCUAUCGCUGAGGACACUGUAAAAGGUGGCCAAGGUAAAUGCAGAUGAACCGCUUCUAAUAGUCCAUUGACUUGGACAAUACUUUUAUGAUUUGAUCUCAAAUCAGGUAGGACUACCCGCUGAACUUAAGC
rnacentral:misc_RNA from 1 species